UACGUAGGAUGCAAGCGUUAUCCGGAAUCAUUGGGCGUAAAGCGUGUGUAGGCGUCUCGUCGCGUCUUUUGUUAAAUCUCCGGGCUCAACCCGGAAGCUGCAGAGGAUACGGGCGGGAUAGAGGUCGGAAGAGGCAGAUGGAAUUCCCGGUGGAGCAGUGAAAUGCGUAGAUAUCGGGAGGAACACCAAUUGCGAAGGCAGCUCACUACGCGAAUAUUGACACUGAGGCACGAAAGCGUGGGGAUCAAACAGG
rnacentral:rRNA from 1 species